rfam:Rattus norvegicus chromosome 14, whole genome shotgun sequence.
GGGGAUUUAGCUCAAUGGUAGAGUGCUUGCCUAGCAAGCGCAAGGCCCUGGGUUCAGUCCCCA